UAUAAAUGCACCGGCUCUAUCUGCAAACAUACAGAGACAGCAAUUUCUUUCAGUUAGCAGUCGAUCAAGUGGCCCAACGUGAAAGUACUGAUAUGAAGCUCACGUUGCUUGUCCGGGAGACAGGGGGAAAGAGGCAACAGGUGAGCUUAAAUAUGGUGCAUGCAUAGCAGCAUGUAAUGUGGAAAACAAAAAUGAACACAAAAAUGCAAGAUUAACACAAAAUGAAAGUGUGCUUUUAAGAAAUAACUACAAAGAGCUUCAUAUAAAAGAGAGCAGUCUCUCUCAGGCUCCUUCAGUGUUCAUUUCGCUCUUGUGAAGGGAUGCUGGAGAACCUAGACCAGUUUGUCUGUUCACUUGUCUGUUCAUCUGGCAUUCAAUGAGAUAAAGAUUUAUGGUCCCAGUGACUGAAAAACAAUAGUCCCUAAAGUAAAACCAAAGGCACAUUUUGAAGGUUGUCAUGGUCCUGGGCCAUGUGGGCCCAGCAUUCUUAGUUUUCAUGUAUUUUUGUAUUUUGUUCUUUAUUUAGGCCAUGCUUCCUGGGUUGAUCUGUUACGUUGUUCCUUAUGUGUUUUCCCUUCGUGACUCUUACCCCCUGUGUGCCCCUCUGUGUAUUUAUGAGCCCUCGUCUCCCUUUGUGGUUGUUUCAUGUUUCCCCAGCCCGUUAUGUCUGUGUUUUUCCCCGUGCUCUCUCUCCUCCUGUCUGAACCUCUGUGCCUGUACAUGUCAUGUUCAGUUCACCCAGCCCUGUCUCGUUAUGAUUAUCAGUGUCACCUGUGUUCCCCGUGUGUGCCCACUUUCCUCGUUUACCCUCUGUGUAUUUCUGUCUGAGUCUCCCUCUGUUCGGUGUCGUGUUCUCCCUCAUGCUGUGUGUGAUUCCCCUGUGUUCCUUGGUGAGCUUUAUGUUAGUUUUUCCCAGUUUAGUUUUGUAUUGUUUCUCGUGGCCAGCAAUAAAGCUGUGUUUUUGAGUUCACCCCCGUGUCGUACUACGGUGUACAUUUUAGGACAUCGUCAGGUAUCAGACAAAAAAUUGUCAGGUGUCAGUUGUCAAAAAAAAAAGUUGUCAGGUAUCAGAAAAAAAAUUGUCAGGUGUCAGAAAAAAAAUUGUCAGGUGUCAGUUGUCAAAAAAAAAAAAAGUCAGGUAUCAGAAAAAAAAUUGUCAGGUGUCAGAAAAAAAGUUGUCAGGUGUCAGAAAAAAAAUUGUCAGGUGUCAGUUGUCCAAAAAAAAAAAAGUCAGGUAUCAGAAAAAAAAUUGUCAGGUGUCAGAAAAAAAGUUGUCAGGUGUCAGAAAAAAAGUUGUCAGGUGUCAGACAAAAAAUUGUCAGGUGUCAGUUGUCAAAAAAAAAAAAGUCAGGUAUCAGAAAAAAAAUUGUCAGGUGUCAGAAAAAAAGUUGUCAGGUGUCAGAAAAAAAGUUGUCAGGUGUCAGAAAAAAAAUUGUCAGGUGUCAGUUGUCCAAAAAAAAAAAAGUCAGGUGUCAGAAAAAAAAUUGUCAGGUGUCAGAAAAAAAGUUGUCAGGUGUCAGAAAAAAAGUUGUCAGGUGUCAGACAAAAAAUUGUCAGGUGUCAGUUGUCAAAAAAAAAAAAGUCAGGUAUCAGAAAAGAAAUUGUCAGGUGUCAGAAAAAAAGUUGUCAGGUGUCAGAAAAAAAGUUGUCAGGUGUCAGACAAAAAAGUUGUCAGGUGUCAGAAAAAAAAUUGUCAGGUAUCAGAACACAAGGUACCAGAGAGAAAAUCUUCCUGCAGGUGGCGCUGUUGUCAUGUCCCACCCGAAUUGAUUUCCAAAUACGUCAUCAACGUGUGACCGUGGGAGAGCGUAAGGUCAUUGACCUCACCGGAGUUUUACCGUGGUUCAGGCUCCUAACGACACAAGGUAAGUUUAACUUUUUCUCCCUUUUGUUCAUAUUUUUGCCACAGUUGUGUUAUAUUAAGUUGCAGUUAUGUUGUGAAAGUUACAUAUCAGAGACGGAAAGCCAGUUUUGUACGAAACCAAAUCAGUACUAUUUUUGUCUGGCUAAUUCAUUCUAGCUAGCGACAGUGGUGAAACGUGAUUCAAAUUUAAACUGUUCAGUAAUUGUUUUGUAUACAUUUCAGCAAAUGGACAAGCUGAAAGCUUACGAGCAGCCUGCAUCCUUUCUGUCGCUCUUUUUCUUUAUUUCUCUUUUCUAUAUUGCUACUGUCGGGAUAUUUUUUGAUCCCGAUUUUUUUUUCUGUUAUUGUUUUUAGACUUUGCUGCAAUAUGUCAUCUGACGAUGAUGAAAGGAGUAUCCGACUCUGGCUGGUUCCCAUGACUGUACCAAAAAUACUUUUUUUUUUAUUAAAAAAAGAGCAUUAAAAAUAAAUGACUAAAGUACAACUUAUUUAUUAACUACUGUUCACCUAUUUAAUAUCAAAGAAGUGUAUUUUUUGCUACACGUUUUAUUUGUGGGCACUGAAUUGACGAUGCUUUUAGUGUAAUUGCCACAUAAAAAGAUUUAGUACUUUACUGGUUAAUUACUUAUGUUCAGUGUAAGAGGUGGGUGAUCAAUUAGACUGUUGUUGUUACACUUAACCUUUCAAGAUAUGAUGAUAAUAACAUUGUUCAACAAAGGCUUAAAACAAAAGGAAAUCAGCUGUGCACUGAAUUCAUAUGGGCAUAAAAUAAGUGAGAGGCAUCUGAGACGAGUUUUAAAACUUCUAGGGUUGAAGCGAAGAUGCCCCCAACGACCUUUUACUGAAAUCCACAAAGCUGUGGAGAGUGAGAUGAAACAGUGGUCUCCUGAACAAGGAAUCAGGGCAAUGGUAAAGCGGGUAAGGGAUGUCAGAGGAGUG
ensembl:lncRNA